ACCCUGUAGACCCGGGUUUAUGU
rnacentral:miRNA from 8 species